rnacentral:SRP_RNA from 1 species
GCCAGGUGUGGUGGCGCAUGCCUGUAAACCCAGCUACUCAGGAGGCUGAGGCAGGAGAAUUGCUUGAACCCAGGAGGCAGAGGUUGCAGUGAGCCAAGAUCACGCCACUGCACUCCAGCCUGGGUGACAGAGCAAGACUCUGUCUCAA